UGAAUCAAUAUUUAAUUAGUGAUAGAGUACACUUGUUUAGUAUUUAUCCAUGAGUCAUGAUGAUGAGUGCAAAGAGAAUAAGUAUUGAGAAAAAUCAACAAGUCUCUGCAGAUGAUGUUGAGGAGAAAAUGGAUCUCAUCAACUCUCUUGAUAAUGAUUCAUUAGCACAAAUAUUCAUGCUGCUGCCAAUAUCUGAGAGGAUGACUAUGAAGGAAGUUUGUUCUAAAUGGCAAGAGGCCUGUCAACUAGCUUGGCAUGAUAUUAAAAAAUACAAAUGUACCAAUACAAUUGUCCGU